ACUUAAAUUGAAGAGUUUGAUCAUGGCUCAGAUUGAACGCUGGCGGCAGGCCUAACACAUGCAAGUCGAGCGGUAACACAGAGAGCUUGCUCUCGGGUGACGAGCGGCGGACGGGUGAGUAAUGUCUGGGAAACUGCCUGAUGGAGGGGGAUAACUACUGGAAACGGUAGCUAAUACCGCAUAACGUCGCAAGACCAAAGUGGGGGACCUUCGGGCCUCAUGCCAUCAGAUGUGCCCAGAUGGGAUUAGCUAGUAGGUGGGGUAAUGGCUCACCUAGGCGACGAUCCCUAGCUGGUCUGAGAGGAUGACCAGCCACACUGGAACUGAGACACGGUCCAGACUCCUACGGGAGGCAGCAGUGGGGAAUAUUGCACAAUGGGCGCAAGCCUGAUGCAGCCAUGCCGCGUGUAUGAAGAAGGCCUUCGGGUUGUAAAGUACUUUCAGCGAGGAGGAAGGCGUUAAGGUUAAUAACCUUGGCGAUUGACGUUACUCGCAGAAGAAGCACCGGCUAACUCCGUGCCAGCAGCCGCGGUAAUACGGAGGGUGCAAGCGUUAAUCGGAAUUACUGGGCGUAAAGCGCACGCAGGCGGUCUGUCAAGUCGGAUGUGAAAUCCCCGGGCUCAACCUGGGAACUGCAUUCGAAACUGGCAGGCUAGAGUCUUGUAGAGGGGGGUAGAAUUCCAGGUGUAGCGGUGAAAUGCGUAGAGAUCUGGAGGAAUACCGGUGGCGAAGGCGGCCCCCUGGACAAAGACUGACGCUCAGGUGCGAAAGCGUGGGGAGCAAACAGGAUUAGAUACCCUGGUAGUCCACGCCGUAAACGAUGUCGACUUGGAGGUUGUGCCCUUGAGGCGUGGCUUCCGGAGCUAACGCGUUAAGUCGACCGCCUGGGGAGUACGGCCGCAAGGUUAAAACUCAAAUGAAUUGACGGGGGCCCGCACAAGCGGUGGAGCAUGUGGUUUAAUUCGAUGCAACGCGAAGAACCUUACCUACUCUUGACAUCCAGAGAACUUAGCAGAGAUGCUUUGGUGCCUUCGGGAACUCUGAGACAGGUGCUGCAUGGCUGUCGUCAGCUCGUGUUGUGAAAUGUUGGGUUAAGUCCCGCAACGAGCGCAACCCUUAUCCUUUGUUGCCAGCGGUCCGGCCGGGAACUCAAAGGAGACUGCCAGUGAUAAACUGGAGGAAGGUGGGGAUGACGUCAAGUCAUCAUGGCCCUUACGAGUAGGGCUACACACGUGCUACAAUGGCAUAUACAAAGAGAAGCGACCUCGCGAGAGCAAGCGGACCUCAUAAAGUAUGUCGUAGUCCGGAUUGGAGUCUGCAACUCGACUCCAUGAAGUCGGAAUCGCUAGUAAUCGUAGAUCAGAAUGCUACGGUGAAUACGUUCCCGGGCCUUGUACACACCGCCCGUCACACCAUGGGAGUGGGUUGCAAAAGAAGUAGGUAGCUUAACCUUCGGGAGGGCGCUUACCACUUUGUGAUUCAUGACUGGGGUGAAGUCGUAACAAGGUAACCGUAGGGGAACCUGCGGUUGGAUCACCUCCUUACCUUAAAGAA
rnacentral:rRNA from 2 species